rnacentral:lncRNA from 10 species
GCAGUUUGAUCUCAGACUGCUGUGCUAGCAAUCAGCAAGACUCCGUGGGCGUAGGACCCUCCAAGCCAGGUGCGAUAUAAUGUCGUGGUGCGCCGUUUUUUAAGCUGGUUGGAAAAGCGCAGUAUUCGCGUGGGAGUGACCCGAUUUUCCAGUGAGAUGAACCCGGUACCUCAGAUUGAAAUGCAGAAAUCACCCGUCUUCUGCGUCGCUCACGCUGGGAGCUGUAGACCGGAGCUGUUCCUAUUCGGCCAUCUUGGCUCCUCCCUCAGUUCUGGAGACUGGGACAUCCAAGGUCAAUGUGCUGGCAGAUUCAAUGUCUGGAGUGAAAUACAUCACCGCUUUCCCUGCUCCCGCCGCCAUUAAAAUUGUGUUUGGCAUCUGACCACCAAGAUACAGAUAUUUCCUAGACUGUUUUGCAGCUAGGUACUUAGGUAAGUACUGCCCUGAGAUUGAAUUUAAACCAACGUAUGUAAGCAUAGUAAUGAAGAUAGGGGCCACCAUUCCCUGUGAAAAUCAAGUGGGAAAGUCCUGAGUCCUUUAAUGACUUUACAGAGGACAGAAUAAACUCCUAUCAUAUUCAUGCAAUUGUGCCUAUGGG